GCUGGGAUAGCUCAGCUGGUAGAGCACGAGACGCUUAAUCUCAGGGUUGUGGGUUCAAGCCCCACAUCCAUGCA